rnacentral:rRNA from 1 species
GGGGAAUCUUGCGCAAUGGGCGAAAGCCUGACGCAGCCAUGCCGCGUGGAUGAUGAAGGUCUUAGGAUUGUAAAAUCCUUUCACCGGUGAAGAUAAUGACUGUAGCCGGAGAAGAAGCCCCGGCUAACUUCGUGCCAGCAGCCGCGGUAAUACGAAGGGGGCUAGCGUUGCUCGGAUUUACUGGGCGUAAAGGGCGCGUAGGCGGACACUUAAGUCAGGGGUGAAAUCCCGGGGCUCAACCUCGGAACUGCCUUUGAUACUGGGUGUCUUGAGUAUGAGAGAGGUGUGUGGAACUCCGAGUGUAGAGGUGAAAUUCGUAGAUAUUCGGAAGAACACCAGUGGCGAAGGCGACACACUGGCUCAUUACUGACGCUGAGGCGCGAAAGCGUGGGGAGCAAAC